GACGAACGCUGGCGGCGUGCUUAACACAUGCAAGUCGAACGGAAAGGCCCUGCGUUUGUGGGGUGCUCGAGUGGCGAACGGGUGAGUAACACGUGAGUAACCUGCCCUUGACUGUGGGAUAUCUUCAGGAAACUGGGGCUAAUACCGGAUAGGAGCUCCUGCUGCAUGGGGGGGGUUGGAAAGAUUCGGCGGUGGGGGAUGGACUCGCGGGUUAUGAGCUUGUUGGGGGGGUAGGGGCUUACCAAGGUUUUGACGGGUAGCCGGCCCGAGAGGGGGGCCGGCCACCUUAGGCCUGCGAGAGGCACCAGUCUCCUACGGGAGGCAGCAGGCGGGAGUCUUGCACAAUGGGCGCACGUCUGAGGCAGCAGCCCCGCGUUCGUGAAGACGGCCUUCGGGUUGUAAACCGCUUUCGCCUGUGACGAAGCGUUAGUGACGGUAAUGGGUCAAGAAGCACCGGCUAACUACGUG
rnacentral:rRNA from 1 species